rnacentral:rRNA from 1 species
UACUAGAGUAGCACUCGCAUAUCAAUAAGCGGAGGAAAAGAAACUAACAAGGAUUCCCUUAGUAACGGCGAGUGAAGCGGGAAGAGCUCAAAUUUGAAAUCUUCAAGGUUCUACCUUGACGAAUUGUAGUUUAAAGAAGUGUUUUCUGUUAGAUGAGUAGCAAAAGUUCCUUGGAAUGGGACAUCAUAGAGGGUGAGAAUCCCGUAUUUGGUUAUUCAUUCUAGCUUUGUGAUACACUUUCAAAGAGUCGGAUUGUUUGGGAAUGCAGGUCCAAAAUGGGUGGUAAAUUUCAUCUAAAGCUAAAUAUUGGCGAGAGACCGAUAGCGAACAAGUACCGUGAGGGAAAGAUGAAAAGAACUUUGAAAAGAGAGUUAAACAGUACGUGAAAUUGUCAAAAGGGAAGCGUUUGACACCAGUGUUGUUUUUCCGAAAAUCAAUUACGAAUGGCUUGAUUUUGUGUUGUAUUGACCUUAUCAGCUUUCUGCACUUUUUUUCGAGUCUUUCUUAAUGCACUUUUCGGUUAACAAGUCAACAUCAAUUUCUUUUGUUGUAAAAGAGUAUUCGGAAGGUGGCUUUCUUUUCGGAGAAAGUGUUUAUAGCCCUAUACUUCUACAAUCGGAGAGAUUGAGGUCUGCAGCGUAGAUCCUUCGGGGUUAGAUACAUUUGUGCUAAGUUGUAGCUUUUCAUAGACAACUUGUUGACUAUGUUUAGUCAUGCGGCUUACUCGCUUAUGCUAUUUUACCUACGCUUAGGAUGUUGAGCGCAUGUCUCUCUCU